CGUUGAUCGCGACAACUUUCAACGGAAACUCACGGUGAAUACGCAAUUUUUCUUAUAUUUUUGGGCGCGUGAUAUCUCUCAGUUUUUACUUUUUCUUCUCAAUUUUCAUUCUCUCUCAAUUCUUUCGCAUUGAAUAUUUCCGUUCGUUCAUCCACACGAUCGUCUUCGUAUACCCCGUACAUAGCCAUUCGCGUUAUUCGAUAUCGUUAUUACUAUCGUCAUUACUGUAAUAAUAAUAAUCAGUAUCAUCAUCAUUGCCAAUUAUUUCCGUCGGAGAGAAAAAAAGAAAAAAAUAGAAAAAACCACCGGAGGCAAAAAAUUCAACAUAUACACCUAAUAAACCGAACUGUAUUCGAG
rnacentral:misc_RNA from 1 species